rnacentral:tRNA from 1 species
UUUAAACCCUAAAUAUGAUUUAUAAUCUCAUAUUA